GACGAACGCUGGCGGCGUGCUUAACACAUGCAAGUCGAGCGGAAAGGCCCUUCGGGGUACUCGAGCGGCGAACGGGUGAGUAACACGUGAGUAAUCUGCCCCAGGCUCAGGGAUAGCCACCGGAAACGGUGAUUAAUACCGGAUACGACAACCGAUUGCAUGAUCUGGUUGUGGAAAGUUUUUCGGCCUGGGAUGUGCUCGCGGCCUAUCAGCUUGUUGGUGAGGUAAUGGCUCACCAAGGCUUCGACGGGUAGCCGGCCUGAGAGGGUGACCGGCCACACUGGGACUGAGACACGGCCCAGACUCCUACGGGAGGCAGCAGUGGGGAAUAUUGGACAAUGGGCGGAAGCCUGAUCCAGCAACGCCGCGUGAGGGAUGACGGCCUUCGGGUUGUAAACCUCUUUCAGCACAGACGAAGCGCAAGUGACGGUAUGUGCAGAAGAAGGACCGGCCAACUACGUGCCAGCAGCCGCGGUAAAAC
rnacentral:rRNA from 1 species